rnacentral:rRNA from 1 species
CGAAAGCCUGACGGAGCAACGCCGCGUGGGGGAAGAAGGUUCUUGGAUUGUAAACCCCUUUUCUCAGGGAAGAAGUUCUGACGGUACCUGAGGAAUCAGCCUCGGCUAACUCCGUGCCAGCAGCCGCGGUAAUACGGAGGAGGCAAGCGUUAUCCGGAAUCAUUGGGCGUAAAGCGUUCGUAGGCGGCUGUUCAAGUCUGCUGUCAAAGACCGAGGCUCAACCUCGGGUCGGCAGUGGAAACUGGAUAGCUAGAGGUCGGUAGGGGCAAAGGGAAUUCCCAGUGUAGCGGUGAAAUGCGUAGAUAUUGGGAAGAACACCGGUGGCGAAAGCGCUCUACUAGACCAUCACUGACACUCAGAGGACGAAAGCUAGGGGAGCG